GCCCGUGUCGCUCAGCGGCCAGAGCACCGGUCCUACACACCGGCAGUCCCGGGUUCGAGUCCCGGCGCGGGCAC
rnacentral:tRNA from 1 species